rnacentral:rRNA from 2 species
UUGAAAGGGAAACGAUUGAAGUCAGUCGUACCUGUGGGUAAUCAGCCUUUUGGGUGUGAUUUUGUGGAGUGUGAGGAGUUAAACGCCUUCAUGCCUGCAUAUUCGUGCACUUUGGGUGUAUUUACCCGUGUGGUAAGUUAACAUCAAUUUCGGUGGUCAUAAAAUGGCUGGAGGAAUGUAGCUUCGAUCUUGUAUUGAAGUGUUAUAGCCUUCGGUAGAUGUGAUGAUCGGGAUUGAGGAUUGCAACGGAUACCCUUCGGGGCUACCUGUCUGAUCUCUGAUCGUUGCUCUGGUGCCGAAAGCUUGCUUACGGAUAUCAAAGUCGAUGGUCAAUAGGUUAGAACGGGUUAAAUUCGUUAAGGAUGUUGACGUA